rnacentral:rRNA from 1 species
UGCCUACGGGGGGCAGCAGUGGGGAAUCUUCCGCAAUGGGCGAAAGCCUGACGGAGCAACGCCGCGUGAUCGAAUGAAGGCCUUCGGGUUGUAAAGAUCUGUUGACAGGGACGAAUAAGCCAUGCGAAUAGUUUGGUGUAUGACGGUACCUGUUUAGAAAGCUCCGGCUAACUACGUGCCAGCAGCCGCGGUAAUACGUAGGGAGCAAGCGUUGUCCGGAAUUACUGGGUGUAAAGGGAGCGCAGGCGGGAAGCCAAGUCAGCUGUGAAAACUACGGGCUUAACUUGUAGACUGCAGUUGAAACU